rnacentral:rRNA from 1 species
UGUGUGAAGAAGGCCUUCGGGUUGUAAAGCACUUUUGUCCGGGAAGAAAUCGCACCUGAUAAUACCGGGUGUGGAUGACGGUACCGGAAGAAUAAGGACCGGCUAACUACGUGCCAGCAGCCGCGGUAAUACGUGGGGUCCAAGCGUUAAUCGGAAUUACUGGGCGUAAAGCGUGCGCAGGCGGUUGUGCAAGACCGAUGUGAAAUCCCCGGGCUUAACCUGGGAAUUGCAUUGGUGACUGCACGGCUAGAGUGUGUCAGAGGGGGGUAGAAUUCCACGUGUAGCAGUGAAAUGCGUAGAGAUCGGAAAGAACACCAACGGCGAAAGCACUCUGCUGGGCCGACACUGACACUGAGAGACGAAAGCUAGGGGAGCGAAUGGGAUUAGAUACCCCAGUAGUCCUAGCCGUAAACGA